UUAGCUAUAAUAAACCAACCAGACAAUUGUUCUUGAUUAAAAUUUAUUCAUUAUGCAUCUAUAUCUAUAUAUCUAUAUAGAUAACUCAUAACUGUGAUUUUUAGGCUACGUCGUAAUCUAAACCAUCAUCUCGCGUGUCAUAUUUUUUUCCAUUUCCAUCUAUAUCUAUAUAUGUACAUAUCAUACAUCAUAAUACACCGGUUUUAUAGAUAUAUUUUUAUACCCGUGAGACAUAUAAUAUAAAAUGAUAGUUGAUACUAUUACUCCCAAGGGAUCUUUUUACCUCUCAAUGCUCUAUAUAAUACUCUAUACUCGUAUUCUCGCGAAUUGUAAUAACAACUUUUAUUCUUCAGGCCAUAUAAAUGCUAUUUAACACUAUAUAUAUAUAUAGUUUAAAGAAGAACCACAAGUCAAACAGCAGGCAGAGUUGUUAUUACCAUGAACGGAAGAGAAAACCCGAAAGACCCGAAAGUUAUACAGCCAAACUACUGAUGAUGAAGGAAAAUGAAGGAGGGCAGUGCUAAGGGGAAGGAAAAAGAGGAGAGGGUGGAGAAAGCAGCAACAGCAGCAACAGCAACAGCAGCCCGCCAGGACGUAGACGUCGACGUCAACGUCGGGAAAAGAGAGGUGAACCAGGCGUUUGGGUGUGCGCGACCCGCCGAUGCGGUGGCAUCGAUCCAUACCGGGUAGAGUCUCCCACACUCCCUAUCGUUGCUUUGCACGUCGUACUACCCGUCCCACAAUCCCGCUUUUCCCUACUAUAUUUCUAUCUACAGAUAUAUAUAUUUCUUGCUUUAUUAUAACAUCUAGUGUCUUUCUUUCUCCGGUGAAUCUAGUCCCCUCGAGUGCCCUCAAACUCACCAAUCUUAAGAUGAUUUUUUUCUCUAACAUACAAACGAUUAUUUUAUAUAUAUAUAUAUUUUUUUUUUCUUUACCUGCUACAUGUGGAUAAAUAUAUAUGAGGUGCUCUUGAAAAAAGUUUUUAGAUUCUUUUUAGUUAACGGAAUAAAUUUUGUUAGGCUCAUUUCAUUUUUUCGCUUUUAUAAGAACAAUAAAAAAUAAUAGAAAAAAAUUAUUGUCAGCUCAAGUUUAAUGCUAAAAUACAUGUACUGGGGCCAUUAUCUCAAUCGAAUGUAGAUGCGAUAACGAAUUCACAUCAGCUGCCAAAAACGAUUUAUAGAUGUACGUUUUGGCAUUAAGCCAUAUUCCGCAUUGACCGGAAACCACUGAGUGCGCUUGGCAAUUACGUGACAAUUAACAAGAUCGAUUGUCUCUUUGAGGCUGUAAUAUUAAGUGACACCCGCGGUCGGUGAGAGUAAAGAGAGAUAUCGAAAUAUCGAAUUAUAUUAGAUAAAAAAUUUUUUAAAUUUUAUAUAAAUAAACUUACAAGUGGCGGAAAUAAGCUGUGGU